AGCUAGUGAUGACAGCUUCUUAUUUUUCUGACACCUCGUAUGAGAGCUUCCAGCUCCUGAUUCUAGGCUUUUACCUGAGGCUG